GUGGAUUUGAUACCCCGGUAGUCCGCACUGUAAACGAUGAUUACUCGCUGCUGGGAGGUAACUUUCAGUGGCUUAGCGAAAGCGAUAAGUAAUCCACCUGGGGAGUACGCCGGCAACGGUGAAACUCAAAGGAAUUGACGGGGGCCCGCACAAGCGGAGGAGCAUGUGGUUUAAUUCGAUGAUACGCGAGGAACCUUACCAGGGCUUGAAAGUUAGUGACCGGAUCUGAAAGGAUUCUUUCCGCAAGGACACGAAACUAGGUGCUGCACGGCGGUCGUCAGCU
rnacentral:rRNA from 1 species